GCCGCUUUAGCUCAGUUGGUAGAGCACAUCAUUCGUAAUGAUGGGGUCACAGGUUCGAGUCCUGUAAGCGGCACCA
rnacentral:tRNA from 81 species